rnacentral:rRNA from 1 species
GUGCCAGCCGCCGCGGUAAUAGCAGCACCCCGAGUGGUAGUCGUUAUUAUUGGGCCUAAAGCGUCCGUAGCUGGCUGCGCAAGUCCGUCGGGAAAUCCACUCGCCCAACGAGUGGGCGUCCGACGGAAACUGCACAGCUUGGGACCGGAAGGCUCGAAGGGUACGUUCGGGGUAGGAGUGAAAUCCCAUAAUCCCGCACGGACCACCGAUGGCGAAAGCACUUCGAGAAAACGGAUCCGACAGUGAGGGACGAAAGCCAGGGUCUCCAACCGGAUUAGAAACCCCAGUAGUCC